UCUGGAGGUGAGGUAGACCUGGAAGCCUUUCUGCAGGCCUCUGUUUGAUAUGUUUGAUAUAUUAGGUUGUUAUUCUGUCCAACUAUAUAUCAAACAUAUUCCUACAGUGUCCUGCUCUGUCUCCAG